rnacentral:rRNA from 1 species
CCUACGGGAGGCAGCAGUGGGGAAUCUUGCACAAUGGGCGAAACCCUGAUGCAGCGACGCCGCGUGAGCGAUGAAGUAUUUCGGUAUGUAAAGCUCUAUUAGCAGGGAAGAAAAUGAGGGUACCUGACUAUGAAACCCUGGCUAACUACGUGACAGCAGCCGCGGGAAUACGUAGGGGGCAAGAGUUAUCCGGAUUUGCUGGGUGUAAAGGGCGCGUAGAUGGGUUUGCAAGGCAGAUGUGAAAGGCUGGGGCUCAACCCCUGGACUGCAUUUGAAACUGGCAUGCUAGAGUGUAGGAGGGGUAGGCGGAAUUCCUGGUGUAGCGGUGAAAUGCGUAGAUAUAAGGAGGAACACCGGUGGCGAAGGCGGCCUGCUGGACGGUAACUGACGUUGAGGCUCGAAAGCGUGGGGAGCAAACAGGAUUAGAUACCCGUGUAGUC